rnacentral:misc_RNA from 1 species
GUCGCACGCUAAAGCAAUACAAAAUCGUUACAUUGAGCACCACAUGGCCCAUCACUGUCAACAUCCCUACACACACACAGCCUCAAACAGGAAAUUGAAGAAAUAUAAAAGUGGAUAAGGUGGUACCUAUACUAUUCUUAAGAAUAGUAAUAUAUAAUAAUAAUUAACGAGAAAGGAAAGAGAAGCCGGAACCGCUCAGUUUUUCCUCUAU